UGUGUGCAGUUGAUAAGCAAACGUAAACAUCCCCGUCUCUGUCAUCGACAUCGUCUUUUCGUUAUACUGCAUCAAUAGGUUGAGUCUGGUCCACGCUACUCCGGCCGUCGCCUUCUUUCCGCAACCUUUUCUAUAAACUGGUGUCCCCUCCUGUUAUCCUCGCCUCACCACUCCCCUUUGCUUCUCCUCGGAUUCUUCCCUUUUUCCAUGCUCCCAAACGUGCGGCGGCUCUCCUGAAGGAGAAGCAAGGGAAGUGCUUACAACGUAAAUGAGUCACAAGCCGAGUCUUGUAAGGUUUGGAGCUCUCAGGCUGCCCCCUGGGUUUAGGUUCCAUCCCACUGAUGAAGACCUAGUUGUUCAGUACCUCAAGAGGAAGGUCUUCUCCUGCCCAUUGCCAGCUUCCAUCAUUCCUGAGAUCGAUCUCGGGAAGUACGAUCCAUGGAACUUGCCUGGUGCAUUAAUGGAAGGCGAUGAGAGGUAUUGCUUCAACCGUAGAGAGGCGAAAUAUCCCAAUGGGAAGCGAUCAAACCGGGCGGCGAGAUCCGGCUACUGGAAGGCCAGGGGGAAGGACAAGCAGAUCGUAGCUUCUGGGUGCAACCAAGUGGUGGGGAUGAGAAGGGUUUUGGUCUUCUACCGCGGAAAACCUCCUACCAGCUCUCCAACCGACUGGAUGAUGCAUGAGUAUCGCCUGGCCGGCUCUGAUGGCAGAAGCUUGGUCUACCCGCAGAGGAAGAACUCAACUCAUGGUUUGAUGAUUCCAAGCCAAGACUGGGUGCUUUGUCGCAUUUUUAAGAGGAGAAGAGCCCCCAUAGUCGUCGACGAGGAGGAGGACAUCAUUACAAACGACGUCACUGAUUUCAGAGAUUUCAUGGACGAGAGAGAGGGUGAUCCGACACCAUCUUCAUCCUCUUCGCCUGAGAAGAGCUGUGUCAGAGAGCUGUUUGAUGAAUCUAGCAGAGGAGAGGAAACUAAUUCACCUCCCUGAGAGACGAUGCUGUCGAAGGCAGAUGGCUUUACAUGCAACAAGGAGGAUGUGAUGCUGCAGAAAGAGAACAAAAGCUGAAAGGGAGGCAUACGUCCAGGUAGGUUUGUGGAUAAGAUGCUGCCUCUAGCCAUCGUUUAACUCGACAAGAAAGAAGGCCAAAUCGCAUCAAAAAAUGAAACCUACGCCAUGAAGGUUUCAACUCUUUCUUGAUGGAUCUAAGAGACAUGCAUGCAUGAAUGGCGCAUCUGGGGACCAUGGUAUCAUGUACCAACAAAGCUUUUUGGUGCUUUGCAUGGUGAAGCGUCUCGGUUGCUCAGAGACUGUCUUUUCUGGACCACUUACAAUUACCAAUUACAAUUACCAAUUAUCCAAGGUCUGUGAGGAGGAAGUUGCCGAACCCCUCAUCAGAAAUGGAUGAUGAUUUGGACGGUAUUAUCAGACAAGCUAAAGCUUUAGCGACACUCGGCAGUAAAAUUAUAAACGUCUUUCCACCAUGGAAUUCAAUAGAAAUCAUUCCUCAUGCUAC